AGGGACACUUCUUCCUCUGGUCUCCAAAUUUACUGAAAUUACCUCUUAAACAAAAAAAUAUGAAAAGGUUAGAGUUAGAAUAUUUUUCUAGAAGGAGAACCUAGUUUAUUAUUUUCUGUCAUUCAUUAUAAAUUAGAGCCACACCUUGGUGAUUGGGAGAGCUGCAUGCCAACAUGGUCAAACUGGCUGUAAGGAGGAAGGGCUACUUGGAGUGAAGUUGAGAAGGCUUCCACCCCAAAUACUUGUCUACAGCUAUCACUAGUCUAUAUAAAAACCCCUUCACAGCAAGCACUGUAGGACUAUAUGGAACUUGCUUAUACAUCAGUGAAAUUGUCCUUCAAUAUACGCCUGUGGGUUGGAACUACUACUACCAUUUGCAUUUCUCACGUUAACCCUCCCUAGCAUUCAUACUCCUCUUAACUUCAGGCUAAACUGAAAGGUGACAGCAAGGCUGCAUUUUUGUUGGAUCAAACUGUUCCAGUCUGAGAAAUAAGAAAUUACAAAUAUCUCUUUACCUCUCUUCCCAGGGAGUCAGCUCCAGUGUUACCUAGAAAUAAAUCAGAUAUGGAUCCUUCACUACAUGAGAGGUGAAGUUGAAAAUGUUAACCAUUUCCAGUGAUAAAAAGGAAACUGAUCUUGGCUCUGCGGGUUCAGAGUUGUCUGUCAACAUUGUCAAGAUGCAGUUGGAGGUCCAAAACAUCUCUCGAAGACUAGACUACAUCAAAAGUCUAGAAGAUAAUGUGCUUCACAAAGCAACAGGUCAAAACAGUUUUAUUUAAAUUUGAAAAAUAUGCAACACUUACCAGAUAGACUCAACAGGGCCAAGGCACUGAGAAGAAAG
rnacentral:lncRNA from 1 species